AUCUUAUAUCGCUGUGUAAGCGUAGUAAAUUAAUAAUAUUUAGUGAGAUCUUCUUAUCAAAGGCUUUAUUUGUAGUUCAUCUUACGCGAUGCAUAGUACAUAUGUACAUAUGUAUAUAUAUCUGUUGUUGUGCAUGUUUAAAUACAUAUUUCUCUUAUCAAAUAAAUACACAAAGUCGGAUCCAGUGCAAUAAUUUUGUACAAACAAAGUUGACGAAAAGUGUAGCGAUUAAAAGAUAUGAAAGAUAAAUAAAAAUAUUUGAAUUCAAAAUAUUUAUAUUUCUGUUGUAACAAUAUUUUUAUUUACUUAAAAUAUUUUUUGAUGGUGGUCACUGAUAAUUUCCUGGAAUAGUAAUAGUUAAACUUACCUUAUAAUUUUUAAAUCAACAACUUUGUGAUCUUGCAGACGACUUAUUAGUGUGCCUUAUCAAUAUUCGAAGUAAUAACUAUCAAAAAGCCGUUAGGUUCAUUAUUUCAGGAAAAUCGAAGUUGAUAAUACUUUGCAUUUUUCUCAAAAAUCGUAGCAGCAGUCGUACGAAAGGUAUGAAUAAUUAAUAUUUAAAAUAUUGUAGGUAUGCUCGGUGCCAUGUUUUUGAAAUGCAAAUUAAUCUUUACAAUUACUGUCAUCAAAACGGUCUGUAUCGAUUUAUGUACUUACAUGUGUUUACCAUAAACAACGAUGUCCGUGGUAAUCCUGGCAUAAAAUAUAUGAUUAUACAUACAAUCAGUGAAAUGGUUAACUUACUGCUGAUGCUGUGCUCCGAGUCACUAUACAUUGAACGAAAGAGUUUCACACUUACAGUUAUCAUAAUAAAUUAUUACAUCACAUUUAAUUAAAUUUACUUUUUUUUAUUACUAAGAAUUAUGAAACAGAAAUGGGUAGGAUUAAUACAAAGUUUCAUUGUUAUUCAGAACAAAUUUACUAUAUUAUAAAGUACUAUAAUUUUAUUUCUGAGCAAUUCUUUGCAAAACAGAGUGUGUUGAUAUAAAGAUUUGUAUUGAUAAGCAACUGAGAUUGAGAAUAAAUGAAGUGGAUGAACUUGGUUAGUGUCGACGUUAGUUUUCCCAUAUGUUGGCACUUCGAAAAACUUUUAAAAUCAUAUAUUCUGAAAUUACUUCUAAU